rnacentral:rRNA from 1 species
GACGAACGCUGGCGGCGUGCUUAACACAUGCAAGUCGAACGGAAAGGCCCUGCUUUUGUGGGGUGCUCGAGUGGCGAACGGGUGAGUAACACGUGAGUAACCUGCCCUUGACUUUGGGAUAACUUCAGGAAACUGGGGCUAAUACCGGAUAGGAGCUCCUGCUGCAUGGUGGGGGUUGGAAAGUUUCGGCGGUUGGGGAUGGACUCGCGGCUUAUCAGCUUGUUGGUGGGGUAGUGGCUUACCAAUGCUUUGACGGGUAGCCGGCCUGAGAGGGUGACCGGCCACAUUGGGACUGAGAUACGGCCCAGACGCCUACGGGAGACAGCAGUGGGGAAUAUUGCGCAAUGGGCGGAAGCCUGAUGCAGCGACUCCGCGUGCGGGAUGACGGCCUGCGGGUUGUAAACCGCUUUCGCCUGUGACGAAGCGUGAGUGACGGUAAUGGGUAAAGAAGCACCGGCUAACUACGUG